rnacentral:rRNA from 1 species
CCUACGGGUGGCAGCAGUAGGGAAUAUUGCUCAAUGGGGGAAACCCUGAAGCAGCAACGCCGCGUGGAGGAUGAAGGUUUUAGGAUUGUAAACUCCUUUUGUUAGAGAAGAUUAUGACGGUAUCUAACGAUUUACCACUUGCUAACUCCGUCCCAGCAGCCGCGGUAAUACGCAGGGUGCAAGCGUUAAUCGGAAGCACUGGUCGUAAAGAGUGCGUAUGCUGGUUAAUAAGUCAGAUGUGAAAUCCUGUUGCUUAACUACAGAACUGCAUUUGAAACUGUUACUCUGGAGUGUGGGAGAGGUAGGUGGAAUUCUUGGUGUAGGGGUAAAAUGCGUAGAGAUCAAGAGGAAUACUCAUUGCGAAGGCGACCUGCUGGAACAAUACUGACGCUGAUGCACGAAAGCGUGGGGAGCAAACAGGAUUAGAUACCCUAGUAGUG